rnacentral:rRNA from 1 species
AGGUUGGCUCAGAAGCAGCCAUCCUUUAAAGAGUGCGUAACAGCUCACUAGUCGAGUGACCCUGCGCCGAAAAUGUACCGGGGCUAAGCCUGAUACCGAAACUGCGGAUUGUAGGAAACUAUAGUGGUAGGGGAGCGUUGUAUACGAGCAGAAGCCGUACCGUGAGGAGCGGUGGAUUGUAUAGAAGUGAGAAUGCCGGUGUGAGUAGCGAGAUGUAGGUGAGAAUCCUACACACCGAAAGCCCAAGGAUUCCAGGGGAAGGUUCGUCCGCCCUGGGUAAGUCGGGACCUAACGCGAGGCCGAAAGGCGUAGUGGAUGGAAAGCAGGCGAAAGAUUCCUGCACCCGUAUAUGGAGCGAAGGAGUGACGGAGACGGAUAGUGUGACCCUCUUAAUGGAUUGAGGGCGAAGCGAAGCGGCUGGUUACCAGGCAAAUCCGGUAACCAUAAGGCUAGAGCGUGACAGGUAAGCGAAAUCUUCGGAAAGUAGCGAAGCACAUGAUGACGGCUUCCAGGAAAAGCUUCUGGCAAUGCAUAUGCGGCCCGUACCAAAACCGACACAGGUGGGCAGGGAGAGAAUCCCGAGGUGAGCGAGAGAACUGUUGCCAAGGAACUCGGCAAAAUGACUCCGUAAGUUAGCGAGAAGGAGUGCUUAAGCAAUUAAGCCGCAGUGAAGAGGCCCAAGCGACUGUUUAACUAAAACACAGCUCUCUGCGAAGUCGCAAGACGAAGUAUAGGGGGUGACACCUGCCCGGUGCUGGAAGGUUAAGAGGAUCUGUUAAGAGCGAUCUGAAGCAGUGAUCCGAAGCCCCAGUGAACGGCGGCCGUAACUAUAACGGUCCUAAGGUAGCGAAAUUCCUUGUCAGGUAAGUUCUGACCCGCACGAAAGGUGUAACGAUUUGGGCGCUGUCUCGGCAGCAGACUCGGUGAAAUCUUAGUACCUGUGAAAAUGCAGGUUACCCGCAACUAGACGGAAAGACCCCAUGGAGCUUUACUGCAGCCUGAUAUUGAAUUCUGGUCAUACAUGUACAGGAUAGGUGGGAGACAAAGAGACGUGCACGCCAGUGUACGAGGAGUCGACGUUGGGAUACCACUCUUGUGUGACCGGGGUUCUAACCUGGUAUCGAGAACAGGUACGGGGAGAGUGUCAGGUGGGCAGUUUGACUGGGGCGGUCGCCUCCCAAAGAGUAACGGAGGCGCCCAAAGGUACGCUCAGAUUGGAUGGAAACCAAUCGUCGAGUGCAAUUGCAGAAGCGUGCUUGACUGUGAGACAGACAAGUCGAACAGGGACGAAAGUCGGGAAUAGUGAUCCGGCGGUGCCGAAUGGAAGGGCCGUCGCUCAACGGAUAAAAGCUACCCUGGGGAUAACAGGCUGAUCUCCCCCAAGAGUCCACAUCGACGGGGAGGUUUGGCACCUCGAUGUCGGCUCAUCGCAUCCUGGGGCUGUAUUCGGUCCCAAGGGUUUGGCUGUUCGCCAAUUAAAGCGGUACGCGAGCUGGGUUCAGAACGUCGUGAGACAGUUCGGUCCCUAU